GCUUUUAGCAAAAGGGAUUGUGAU
rnacentral:piRNA from 1 species